CCCAGACGUCAUUUCUCACGCUCAUUCUUCGCUCGGAAAGUCACUUUCCGAGAGAAGCAUGAGCGUGGGAAAUGACGUCUGGGUUC